GGAGAGAGGGUGUAGCUUAGUGGUAGAGCGCAUGCUUAACAUGCAUGAGGUCCUGGGUUCAAUCCCCAGUACCUCCA
rnacentral:tRNA from 1 species